GUGUUCUCCUGGAGGGCAGAGUAUGAACGGGGAGCAGGCCAAGGUCUUGCAGUUACCAUCGGAAACACCCCCCAGCGUCAGCAGCAUGAUAUUGUGGCUGAAUCUUCUCUUGGCUCUAGCGGCUCUUCCAGAUGUCCGGUCCCAGGUUCUUCUGGUGGAGUCGGGAGGGGAUGUGAAAAAGCCCGGAGACUCUCUCCGCCUCUCCUGCAAAGCCUCCGGGUUCAACUUCACCAGCUACCAUAUGAGCUGGGUCCGUCAGGCGCCCGGGAAGGACCUGGAGUGGGUCGCACUGAUAUACAACCCUGCUAGUAGCCAAAGCACGUUUUACAGUGAAGCGGUUAAAGGGCGAUUCACCAUCUCCAGAGACGACUCGAACAGCCUGGUGUAUCUGCAAAUGACCAGCCUGAAAGCGGAAGACACCGCCUGGUAUUACUGUGCGAGAGACACAGCGAUCAGAAAUCAACUGCAGUGAAUACAAAAACCUCCUCCUCGGACGCAAACAGCUCUCAGGGCCAGCAGAGAGCAGCAGGCACUGACACGGCAGAGCAGCUGAGACACCGGGAAAUGGAAUAAG